GGAGAUUUAGCUAAGCAGCAUAAGCACCUGCCUUGCAAGCAGGCGGUAGUGAGUUCAAUCUCAAGUACCG
rfam:Cavia porcellus supercont2_184 genomic scaffold, whole genome shotgun sequence.